UUAUUGUUAACUACCACUCCAGAAGGGAAAAGAAAAAAAGGAACAAUAGUUUGGCAACAUAUUCUACAUGAUUGGCCGACCACAUCUCGCCUUUCACGAAAAAAGUAACAAUAAUUUGACAACAUAUUCCACACGACUGGCCGACCACAUCUCGCCUUCCAUAAAAUUCCAGAGAGAAGUUUAUUUCAACAGCCAAAGCUUGUAAAUCACUCCUAAGUUUCAGGACUAGUUAAGGUGCUUCUACGUUAUACGGAAGCUCUAUUAUGAUUCAACGAAACUUAAUUAACAUAAUGUACGGAAAACUUCUCUCUGCUUCCUCCGCUAGAAGUGAGCCUCCAAAAUACCUGAAAUGGACAGAUGACGUGUUUAGUACCACAUAACAUCCAGUCCAUCUUAAAUUACUGUUACACAGAUGAUGCGUUUAGUACAACAUAACAACCUGCUGUUAUAAAUCACUGUUACAAAGAUGAUGGUACCAGAUAACAUAAAGGUUAAUGCUAACGACUCCACUGCACAAUUAGGGAGGCAAAUAGGCAAAGUAAUAACCAGUAUUAAAAGUAAGCAUGCAACAACAGAGUCCAGGUUUCUGAUCAAAAUUGACAGGCAAGGGUAUAAAUGGAGAUAAUCCAGCUGCAAUGAUGAAUGUUUGUUCAUCUACACUCCCAGUAAAGGCACAAGUUAUGUUGGGACACUAAUUACUUACUUUUACGGAAAGAACACAGUUUAAUAACCAUCCACCAAAUCUAAUAUGAUAAGUGCAUGUAAAAAAGUGCGGAAUUUUCUUGCAGUUCCUAAUUAUGUUUUAUUUGUCUCAUGCCCUUCCCUCCUCUGUCUACCCAAUGGCACACCUUAGUGCCAAUUGGGCAAAAUUAAUAAUCAUCAUCAAGGAUGAAAGGAGCUACUCAAUGGCACACUUUACUGCCUAUUGGCGAAAAUUAAUAAUCAUCAGCAAGUAUGAAAGGAGCAAUUCUUUUGGUCAACCUUGUAAUAUUCUUUCAGUCAUCUAGUCAAUAAUUAGAAAUAGAAAACAUUGUGUGUUCUUGAGCCAGUAGAAGGAUGAUCCAGGAAAAGAAAUUCCGCCAGUUUGUAUGCCAUCUCCAUACUACCGAGGCACAACAUUAUAUUAUUGAUCUUAGUAAUAGGUGUUGUUCAUUGUAUAGUCCUGGUCCGUUGACGCCGGUCACAAUCAAGAACUUUUCUUAAGAGUGAAUAUUCGGAGGUUGAAGUCACUUAGGCAAUGUGAAAUCAAAAUCAAUUCUCUGAUUACGACCACUCCGGUUACAUGUGAAUGGGGCCCAGAUGUAAGUUUGUUGGAAGAGAGAACUACAUGCACUUCUUGGAUGCCGAUGAAAAGAGUCAAACAACUAAUCAUCAAGCUCAUGGACCUAGAAGCGCUGGAGAGUUUCAGCUAGCUGUGGUUGCAAUUUUUAUGCUUAUUGAGUGUCUACCAAAAAUCUGCACUGACGCCUAAUUUUCCUUUAAAGGUAAGGGCUCCAAUCUAUAUAGACCAUGCACCUUCCUUCUUUUAAAUCAUAGGAGGGCACAUGCAUCCACCUAGCCAAAUCAAAACAGAAAGGAUAAACAACAUAUUACCUGACAGCUAGUGGUCACAACAUUUAAUCAACGAUAAGUCUUGUCUCUCUGACAUGCUUUUCCUCUGAAAUUCAAGUGCAGGGUAGUCACGGAGGGCACCAACAAGGAGUUGAGCUCAUUCAGCUUAAGCAUCCUGUGCCAAUCUACAUCGACCUUGGUGAGGUUUAGUCUGCAGAGGAGUGGCAUUUAGUGAACAUAUGAUAGAUUAACUAAAGACAGGCAAGAAGGAACAAAAAUCUAGCAAUGCAGUGCGAAUUCAGCUAGACUCCAGCAUGCUUACCACCACAUAUCGACUUAAUUUCUUCAGUGUGGAGAGAAGAGUGUCAUCAGGAGGAUUGUUGAGCAGAUCUUCCUGUUGAUUGCCAUCAUAGAUAAGCUUAUUCAGAGAAUGUCUUGAUCCAGAUGAAGCAGGUGAGCAGGAAAAGGUUCUAUUCCUUGUGCUUAUGCCAGAAAUAUCUGGGAGACCAAUUCUUCUCCUGCGCCUUGCUAGGUUUAUCUGGAGGUAAUUGACUCUGCCUUUAAUCUGGGAAUAAAUUCUUUCUCUGAGUGGUAUAGCAGGAUGUCAUGACCUAUUUGGAAGCUGGCAAAUAAAUCUCACUUGCAAUAUUAGAUAUUGUGCAUCCUCACCCUGUGAACUUCUAAACUGGCCAUAGUAUGAAGCUCCAGGCAAUCUUGCAGACAAAAAGAAGAGACACAAAUGUAGCAGGGAUUGGAGUCAAGGAGGCAU
rnacentral:lncRNA from 1 species